rnacentral:misc_RNA from 1 species
UCUGGAGUAUUUUCUCCACUAACUCUCUCCAAAGCAUAGCGUUUAAGUAACUCCUCAACUGGAAUAUCAACUUCAUUGUGCAGAGCAGCCAAUUCUUCUUGCCUUUCCUCUUCAGUUAUGAGAGCUUCAUCUUCCUCGAUAGUAUGUUCAUCAUCUUCUGAUUCAUCUGAUUGCACAUCGUAAUCAUUGUCAUUGUCUCCACUGUCUGACUGAGGCUCUGGAACAACAGAACUUAAUUGUGCUGGUUCCUUAGUAUCAUUUUUCUGUCUUUCCUCAUAUGGAAUAUCCUGUUGAUCCACUACGGAAUAUUGCUGCAAUGGUUUGUCCACCAGAUUUUCUGCUAACAUU